rnacentral:rRNA from 1 species
AGCGAACGCUGGCGGCAGGCCUAACACAUGCAAGUCGAACGAACUCUUCGGAGUUAGUGGCGGACGGGUGAGUAACACGUGGGAACGUGCCUUUUGGUUCGGAAUAACUCAGGGAAACUUGUGCUAAUACCGAAUGUGCCCUUCGGGGGAAAGAUUUAUCGCCAUUAGAGCGGCCCGCGUCUGAUUAGCUAGUUGGUGAGGUAACGGCUCACCAAGGCGACGAUCAGUAGCUGGUCUGAGAGGCUGACCAGCCACACUGGGACUGAGACCCGGCCCAGAAUCGUACGGGAGGGAGCAGUGGGGAAUCUUGCGCAAUGGGCGAAAGGCUGACGCAGCCAUGCCGCGUGAAUGAUGAAGGUCUUAGGAUUGUAAAAUUCUUUCACCGGGGACGAUAAUGACGGUACCCGGAGAAGAAGCCCCGGCUAACUUCGUG